rnacentral:rRNA from 1 species
CACGUAGGGGACGAGCGUUGUCCGGAUUCAUUGGGCGUAAAGCGCGCGUAGGCGGCUCGGAAAGUCGGGCGUGAAAUGCCGGGGCUCAGCCCCGAAACUGCAUUCGAUACUGCAUGGCUUGAGUACUGGAGGGGAGACUGGAAUUUACGGUGUAGCAGUGAAAUGCGUAGAUAUCGUAAGGAAGACCAGUGGCGAAGGCGAGUCUCUGGACAGUUACUGACGCUGAGGCACGAAGGCCAGGGGAGCAAACGGG